UUAAAUUGUUUAUUCGGUAGUAUAUUAUUUAUGGCCAUGUUCCAUCCACAAAUCUCAACAUCUUUAUAUUUAUAUGAUUAUUAAAUUGCUAUCUUUAGGUUUG